GAUGAACGCUGGCGGCGUGCCUAAUACAUGCGAGUCGAGCGAACGGACGAGAAGCUUGCUUCUCUGAUGUUAGCGGCGGACGGGUGAGUAACACGUGGAUAACCUACCUAUAAGACUGGGAUAACUUCGGGAAACCGGAGCUAAUACCGGAUGAUAUUUUGAACCGCAUGGUUCAAAAGUGAAAGACGGUCUUGCUGUCACUUAUAGAUGGAUCCGCGCUGCAUUAGCUAGUUGGUAAGGUAACGGCUUACCAAGGCAACGAUGCAUAGCCGACCUGAGAGGGUGAUCGGCCACACUGGAACUGAGACACGGUCCAGACUCCUACGGGAGGCAGCAGUAGGGAAUCUUCCGCAAUGGGCGAAGGCCUGGCGGAGCAACGCCGCGUGAGUGAUGAAGGUCUUCGGAUCGUAAAACUCUGUUAUUAGGGAAGAACAUAUGUGUAAGUAACUGUGCACAUCUUGACGGUACCUAAUCAGAAAGCCACGGCUAACUACGUG
rnacentral:rRNA from 1 species